GCCUGGCUGGCGCAAUCGGUGGAGCAUGGGACUCUUGAUCUCAGGGUCAUCAGUUCAAGCCUCAUGCUGGGUG
rnacentral:tRNA from 1 species